AAUCCCCGCUGCCGCCCCCGCUACCGCUUACACCUGACACCGCCUACUAUCUGUCAAUGAAUCACAUCGGCGCGGUAGUACGAGCGAGCGCAGUUUCACUACCGCCUCACUCCGCCUCGGUCCAAUGUACCCGUUCACAACAACAAAAACAACCGACAUUCACGAAGAAGUAACCCCUAGGAAAAGUGAUAUAGUUGGUGAAUAUUGAAUGUAUUUAAGUGUUGUUUCAAAGUGAAUUUGUGAUAGAAAGUGAAUGUGUGAAAUUAAAUGAAGGAAUGGUGUCGAGAGCUCCCGGCUAGAGUGACGUCACGAGUGUCAUAUGCGGCCACUAUGUGAACGAUUCCACCAUGCUGCUCAAGCUAUGCAAGUCAUGCCAGUACUGUCUGGAGACGAUGUACUGGAACUGUUGUGAGGAGCGGUUCUGUUUCGAUAAGA